GACGAACGCUGGCGGCGUGCUUAACACAUGCAAGUCGAACGGAAAGGCCCUGCUUUUGUGGGGUGCUCGAGUGGCGAACGGGUGAGAAACACGUGAGUAACCUGCCCUUGACUUUGGGAUAACUUCAGGAAACUGGGGCUAAUACCGGAUAGGAGCUCCUGCUGCAUGGAGGGGGUUGGAAAGUUUCGGCGGUUGGGGAUGGACUCGCGGCUUAUCAGCUUGUUGGUGGGGUAGUGGCUUACCAAGGCUUUGACGGGUAGCCGGCCUGAGAGGGUGACCGGCCACAUUGGGACUGAGAUACGGCCCAGACUCCUACGGGAGGCAGCAGUGGGGAAUAUUGCACAAUGGGCGGAAGCCUGAUGCAGCAACGCCGCGUGCGGGAUGACGGCCUUCGGGUUGUAAACCGCUUUCGCCUGUGACGAAGCGUGAGUGACGGUAAUGGGUAAAGAAGCACCGGCUAACUACGUG
rnacentral:rRNA from 1 species